AUGGUGGUGGGUGCGUGUAAUCCCAGCUACUCGGGAGGCUGAGACAGGAGAAUUGCUUGAACCCUGGAGGUGGAGGUUGCAGUGAGCCGAGAUUGCACCAUUGCACUCCAGCCUAGGCAACAAAAGCAAAACUCUGUAUCAAAAAAAAAAUUAAAAAAAAAAUUGUGGAACUAGUGUUUUAUUUCUAAGCUUGCAGAUAUUGCUAGAAUUCCACUUACUGUUACAUCUAAAUGUAUGCUGAUUUUUCAUUAAAUAAUAAGCAGAUCUGUAAACAUUUUAUUUCUAACCUCUUUCCAUAUUUAUGAGUAUAGAAAAACUGUGGUUAUGAAUAUUUUUUACUUUUUGAUAGCUUUUAAAAACUAUCAGAUAUGUGAUAAUCAGAUAGAUUUCAAGUUUACUUACAAUGUAAAUUAGGAAAAUUUUUAUAAAGAUUCUACCCAGUAUUGAUCAAAAGUAUAAAUUGUGUGUCUUUUUAAGCAGCAGUUUGGCAAUGACAGUCAAAUUGAUACUAUGUAAAAGUUUUGAAACGUUAUAGCUGGCUAUUGGGGUUUUUAUCUAUUCCAGUUCUCGAAAAUUUACCAAAUAUAGGUUGGCUAUAAAAUCAUAACUAUCUGAGGUAUCUGUCAAUAAAUCAAAGAUUGCAGUGAUUAUAGCUUCUGUAACAUAAAUGUAAUUCUAACACUAAAAAAUUUCUAUAUGGAAUAUGUUUUAUAGUCCUAAAUUGAUAUUUUAUAUCAUUUUUCAGUGAACAACUAGUUGUUUACAGAGGUCUGUGCAUAUGUCUUUAGUUUUUCUAACUAAAAUAUUAAUAGUUAAUUAUAAAAAUAUGAAUUAUGUGGGGCUUGUCAUUCUGACAUUUAAUACUUUAGCGUGGUGGUAAUGGUGAUAUACUGUUUGAAAUUGUUAACACGAGUUAAAAUCAAAAGAUAGAUAUGUACAUAUUUGUAUAUUGCUACAUGACAAAAAUGUAGAAAGAAUAUGAUUCACAUGAAAAUUGUUUGGAAGGACGUGACAAAGUUUUAACAGCCCUGUAUAGUGAAAGGAGUAUAGAAGGACUACUUCUACUUUGUGUAUCUGAAAUUUUCAAAAGCUAUUUCAAGAUGAACAUUUAAACAACAGGAAAUUUUAGAGACAACCACUUUGUGCCUGUCUUCAUCCUUGACAUUCAACAUCCUAGGAACAAUGGGCUGUUGUAUUCAACUUCUUAUUCCCAACAGCCAUUGUGAAUGGUUUUUGAUUGAUCUCACAAAGAGCAUGUGAUUUAGACAUUAAUGCAGCGACUACCAUGAAACAGAGUAUUGGAUUACCUAAGGAAAGAAGCAGAAGAUGGAAUUUGAGGCAAUCAGGAGGAGUGAACAAUUUAUUUGCAGCUAACCUGCAAAUGGAAUCAUCAGGAACAUCCCUUUCUCAUGGAGUCCCUUAAUUUACAAGUUAACUGCAAACAUAGGAGAUGAUAGUUCCAAGAAGGAACAUUUUAUCAUCUUUGUUUUUGAUCUCAAGAAUGGUACCUACUAUCAGUGAAUGACCUGUUGCGCAGUGCUUUCAUUGAAGUGUUCUUGAUUCCCUCAGCAGUAUGAUUGUGAUGACUGAAAAAGGGAAACUGUGCCACUAUUUGUACCAUCAUCUUCACCAAAAUCUAAAAAUGCUUUUUAUGAUGUAUGGAGACACUCUUCAUGUUUGUUUCAGUGGACACUCCUUGCAGAUGUAAAAAACUGAGAAAGCUCACUUUUGGAAAGUGACCUAAAGAGUGUCAUUGAAGUGAAUUUUAAGUAGGCACGAUGAUUGUUUUCAUGGUUGCUGUUGAAUCAUAUCUCAGGAGCUGGAAUGACAGACAUUAUUGUACAAAGAAAUCAGGAUAGUGGAACUUAAAGGGCUUCAUCUCAGUGCUUUCAUAAGUAUGAAGUGCAUAUAUUUAUAAUUUUCACUAAUCACAGGGUAAAUAUAAAAUUGAUUCAUUAAAAAUGUUUCAUAAGAAUUCAAAGGACUUAGAAUUUUGUGAAAUGUAGUAUUUUUACUUAAGUGCCUUUUCUCUACUUCUGCCCCACAGCCAAUUUUUAUAAACCAGUUGAUACAUAAGUAGUUUUGGGGGGAUGAUAUAUUACUUAUACAUUUUCUAUGUAGUAAACAUGUAUGUGUAUGUGUGUGGGUGUGUAUCUAAUUACUUUGUUGGAGUGAUUCCUAUGGUUUGGAACUGCUGGGGCCAAGUUUGUGCAAAAAUCUACAUUUUUGAGUAAACUUCCCAUGACUCUAGUAACUAGUUUCCACAGUAUUUGAGAAUUCUUCAUUUCCUAAAGCUGUACAAACAUCAGAUAAUGAAUAUUUGUAAGGAUCGAAAAUUUAUAAUGAAAUUGCUUUCUCAGCUAUUAAUGUUAACUACAUAAUCUUCAUAUAGCCUUAUAACUCAUUUGUGCUAUUCCAUUUUCCUCUGUUCCUUUUAUUUUCACUUCCCUUGUAAUGUUAGUCUCUUUGUUCUGAUUUCUGAAGAGUUCAUUUAUGAUUAAAGAUGUUAACAUUUUGCCUAGAAUUGCAAAUAUGUUUGUUCUCUUUCAUUUUACUAUGGUGUUUUAUUUUUUGGUUAUACAGAAGUUGUAUAUUGAAAUAUCUUGUUCUGUUUUAUGACUUCGGAGUUUUGUGGUUUUUUAAAACAUGUUUACAUUAGUAUCAUUUAUUUGUAUUGCCUUCUAUUUCAGCAGUUAUUUUGUCAUUUCUUUUUCCAUUAAUCAUCAUUCUGGUGUUAAUGAAUGCAUUAAAUAUUUAAAGUACUCACUUUGACCUGUGUAGUUAUAUGUUAAGUUCUACCAUAAAGAAAAUUUCCAGGUAAAAUUAGCUACAUUUCUGUUAACUUGCCUUACCAUUUUAUUGAUACUUUAAUAAUUACUAAUUUAUACUGUCUUAUCUAUUCCAUUGAGUUCUCAUUUCUCUUCUUUUUCAGAAUAUUCCCUGUCUAUACUUGCCUUUUUUUCUAUCAAUUGACGCUUACAAUAUUUUUGCAAGUUGGAAAAAAAUGCAGUAUUAAUUUCAUUUGCAACAAAGUUAAUAGAUUAAUUAGGAGAGAAUAGAUAUCUUUAAAAUUGAGUCUUCUAUCCAACUGCAAGUUAUAGUUGAGGUGGUACCAGUUUAAGAAGUGAGAACUUCUUCACUGACUGAAAUUUGCGUAUCAAUCCAAAUCAUUGUGCUUGUUUACUAUUUUUGUAGACGUCAUUCUUCAAAAGUGCUGCAUCUUUCAUAGUCAAGGAGGACAAAGACAUCUUUCCUGCAGGUGGUGACCAUGUGGAUAAUAGGAUUAUAGACAAAUGGUGGUUCCAUCUACAGCAUCACCAAAAUGCUGUUGUUAUUGCUUCUUUCUGGGAUCUUCUUGCAUCUUUGCUUCUCAAGGGGCACAACUUUUAUAGAAGUAUGUCCAGGAAUAGAAGUGACCUGCUUUUUCGCAAGUAAUUGCCUGGAAUGUUUUUAUGUACUUCUGUGCACUCUCAAUACAUUUCAUGCUUCCCCCUAUUUUUGUAUAUUAACUCAUUGUAUUUCUUAAAUUUAUAUUUUACUUUAUGAAUGAACGUGAGAUUUGUGUAUGGCAAAUAUAAUUAAUUCAACCCCAUGGACAUGUUAGUCACUCUCAGAUGAUGGUAAGUCUUUCUCAGAAGCAGAGGGCCUUGGUGUGCCAGUGAUUUUUUUUUCCUAUGUGUAAGAUACUUUUUUUCCUCAUUUGAAUCAGGAGCCCACGGUUUUUAGACAAGUCUCAAAUGAAAUCUUAAGCAUUUAUAUUAUCUGGACUAGACCUUCUGUGUAGUAUCUUUUUUGUUAGACCUAGUAUAUCUCACUGCAGAUCAGGAUCUGAGAUAGACUAUAGUUCACCUCUUUCCAAGUACACAAACUUGGAUGACAUGACAACUGAAUGUGUAAGGGAGAGCGAGACCCUUGCACUGCCAUUUGAGCCAUUGUGAUCUCAUCUUGUAGAACAUGUUGUACAAUCGUUUUCUUGGUAUCAUUAGUGUUCUUUGGGGCUGGAAUAAAAAUCUCAGUGUACCAAACAGAUUUCCCCUUUAUCCACAUUA